CUUUUUGGCCUGAAGUCAAGCAAGAAA
rnacentral:rRNA from 3 species